UCCUACGGGAGGCAGCAGUGGGGAAUAUUCGGCAAUGGAGGCAACUCUGACCGAGCAACGCCGCGUGGAGGAUGACGGUUUUCGGAUUGUAAACUCCUUUUCUCAGGGAAGAGCGAGGACGGUACCUGGGGAAUAAGUCACGGCUAACUACGUGCCAGCAGCCGCGGUAAU
rnacentral:rRNA from 1 species